ACCUAUUUAUCUUUUCUCUCAAAUUUCUGACCAUAUUUCUUAUUUUCCUCAGAAUUUCAGGCGCUAAAAAAACCACAGAAGAGUCGCGUCUUUUCAAUUGCCUCCGUUUAUUAAAAGAGGAAAGAAAUGAGCAGUCACGUCUUAACUUUUCUGAAUUGCCUCCGUCUCUUCUUCUUCUUCCUCCCAGCAAAGAUUGAUGUUAUGUCUUUCGCGAUUCAUAUCCAUGGCUAUCAUUGUUGGAGCCAGCGUGAUCAGCGGUACUACAUAGGGUUGACAGAUAUACAAGCAGAAACGAGGCAAUUCUCCGCUCCUAAACAAGGUAUUCAAUUCUUAACUCCCUUUUAAUUCUCUGCUUUUGCCACAACUGAAUCGACCUCUUUGUCCUAACGCUUUGCAAGAUUCUUACUGGAUAUGCCCAGCGGUUGGAUAUAGUUGGCAUCUCUUUCUCUGAUCGCCGCAAAAUAUGGUACCUGCAUCUACUCGCAUUUUUUUUUUAAGUCAUUAAAAAAUUUCAAUCCUCCUCAAAAUUAACAAAAGAUAGGUUUGUUCUUUUACUAGUUUUACUCUGUAAAGAACUUCUUUUAAACAGGAUUUUCUUGUACUUUUGGGAAGAUAUUAGGAUAGCAAGUAAAGAAACUAAUGAACUUUUAAAGCAGAUCGGAGAAGUAAGUCGAGCAAGUAAAAAUGUGGUCCUUUGUCGUUACGUGGUUAUAUAUUGCACUAUGGUUUAGUUUUAUGUAGGGAUUAUUGACCAAGAAAAAGAGAAUGCUUCUUUCUUUCUGUUCUUAUGCGGUCUCUUCUUUAGGGGCAGAGUUGAUGGAGGAGAUACCUUACUUUGACCAUAAGUCUGAAUAGAAAAAAAGAAGAAGAUCCUUUUCAAUGGAGAAACGUAUGUGUUGUUUACUGCUGCCUUCAGAAGACAAAGUCUUUUACUUUCGUUCUGUUGAAAUACAAAUUAUCUCCUAAUUGAGCAACAACUUACUUUGGUUAACUUACUAUAGAUGGAGAAUAUUGUAUGUUCUUAUAUCAAAUCCUCUCUAGUUAGACCCACAUUUUAAUACAUGUAAAAGUUUUUCUAUUAGAGUACGAAAAAAAAAGAAUGUGCUUCAUUAAGUCAUUCCACUAAACUAAUCUUUAUUGAUUGAGCUUUUCCAGUCUCGGUUUGAAAGCCUUGACAGCUCAGAUUACGUAGUUCGUUGCCAUUGCUAUAGGAAAGAACUCGUAUUUACACGGAAUCAUCAACUGUAGAUCUGAAAAUCCCAAGAUUUGUGUAUCGAGAUGCUUAUUAAAAGAGAGUUAUCAUCGAGGUGUUGGUUCCAGAUGACUAACCCUUAUUUUGGAUAAGAUCCUGAAUUCCCUAUGACGGGCUAUCUCUUUGAGUCACAUUUUUCUCCCCUAUACUUUGUAUACAUUAUGUUACUGCAGUAGAAGAAUCCUACAUUCUGUAUUGUUACCAUAGUAAAUGGAACAACUGCAAAUAUCAUUAGUUUCAUCUCUAAGUAGGUGAACUGUUCUGCUGCCAAACGUAGAUGGUUUAGGUUGGUGAUGUGUUAUACAUUGUUGAAAUUGGAUCCUUUUGGAUCUGAAAUCUUCAGAUGGUCACUGUUUAGAUUUAUCUAUGUUUGAUUGAAAAAAACUGUAGAAGAGAUAUCUUCCUUUUCAGGGCCAUUCGGCGAUUCAAUAGAUGAUACAUUGAAGAUCAAAACCUCCAGGUUAGAUGAUUGUAUUGAAUUUCUAUCCUAAUUUUGAGAAAAUUUCUCCUCAUAUUGAAAUUUUAUUGGAUUAUACAGUUUGAUGAUUUUUUUGCCCGGGCACAACAGAACAGGCUAGCUGCACGUCAGACAGAACCGGGCAAAGCCAGGUUUUGUAUCGAAGCAUCCAGUGGAUAAUCAUGAGAAGGAUUAAAAAAAGCUUCUACUUAUUGUAGGUGUCUCUUGGAAACAAGAAAAAUAGAGAUGUGAUUCGCAAGGCAUGGAUGCCUACUGGUGUGGCUCUCUUUUCCCCUCCCCCUUUUUCCUAUUAUCUUUUGGUGGCCUUGUGAAGCUAAAAUUUAGCAACUCCACUAAGAUGCUGAAGAAAUAUUUCAGCUCACCUUACUGAUUCAAUCAUUGUCUGUUGAACACAUUUAGACUUUGGUUGCUAUUGAAUUCCCUAGCAACAUCAUUGGUCUUGUCUUAAUCCAAAGUUUCAUCAGUAUUAACUGCUAUCACUCUGAAUUCAACUUUUGAAUAACUGAUUUCAUUCUAAAUCUCUAAGCUUAUUUUGGCAAGUGCUGCUCUUAAAAAAUUAGAGGAGAAAGGUAUCGUAAUCAUUUCAUGGAAGCUACAGACUCUGAAGUUCAAGCAAAUAAACAAAGAGCUCACAGGUACAUGUUGAAAUGCCUAUAAUUUGGGAAGUCGCCGAAGAAUAAUGUUAUUGAUCGAAGAUGAACAGAGGUACAAGAAUUCUAGGCUGAGAAGUAAGAAGCACAGACGAAGCCAAUGUGAUCCCCAAGACAAAGAUAGUAACUUCAUUGCAUAGAAUAUAUAGUUGCACCUUAUCCGACAACAUCAACUUUCUUUAUAGCACACAUAUUUUAACGGAUAUAGUUCAACCAUUGUCCUCUGUUACUAAGUUGGCUUCAGAAUCAAAGACAUAAGUGUACCUUCUUUUUGGUCAACAUAAUUGUACUUAAUUCCUGCACUUAUUGAUAUUGUCUCUAUAUAACUUAAUGUUUAGUGCCA